UACGGGGGGGGCAAGGGUUGUUCGGAAUUACUGGGCGUAAAGGGCUCGUAGGUGGCCAACUAAGUCAUACGUGAAAUCCCUCGGCUUAACCGGGGAACUGCGUCUGAUACUGGAUGGCUUGAGGUUGGGAGAGGGAUGCGGAAUUCCAGGUGUAGCGGUGAAAUGCGUAGAUAUCUGGAGGAACACCGGUGGCGAAGGCGGCAUCCUGGACCAAUUCUGACACUGAGGAGCGAAAGCCAGGGGAGCAAACGGG
rnacentral:rRNA from 1 species